GACGAACGCUGGCGGCGUGCUUAACACAUGCAGGUCGAACGCUGAAGCUCAGCUUUUGUUGGGUGGAUGAGUGGCGAACGGGUGAGUAACACGUGAGUAACCUGCCCCCUUCUUUGGGAUAACGCCCGGAAACGGGUGCUAAUACUGGAUAUUCACUGGUCUUCGCAUGGGGGUUGGUGGAAAGGGUUUUUCUGGUGGGGGAUGGGCUCGCGGCCUAUCAGCUUGUUGGUGGGGUGAUGGCCUACCAAGGCUUUGACGGGUAGCCGGCCUGAGAGGGUGACCGGGCACAUUGGGACUGAGAUACGGCCUAGACUCCUACGGGGGGCAGCAGUGGGGAAUAUUGCACAAUGGGCGCAAGCCUGAUGCAGCGACGCCGCGUGAGGGAUGGAGGCCUUCGGGUUGUGAACCUCUUUCGCUCAUGGUCAAGCCGCAACAAUGGUUGUGGUGAGGGUAGUGGGUAAAGAAGCGCCGGCUAACUACGUG
rnacentral:rRNA from 1 species